rnacentral:lncRNA from 1 species
AAUAACAUUCCGCCUUCAAAACCCAUCAAUCAAGAUUUGUACCAGGGAAUCGAGUAAAUUGAAUCGGCAUUGGUUUAUGGGAACCGAUAGAAGAAGAAUCGAUCGGUGGAGAUGUGAAUUGCGAGCCUUUCUUUUAUGAGGAAUCCAUGAAUAUAGAUGGAAGGCGAGUCAGAAUUUCUUGUAGCAUCUGGUGUUGAGAAGUGAAAGAUUGAGUAAGGCCGUCAACUUCUUUACGGAGCAAUGAAUGGAUUCUUGGACGACGUUGAUAUUUUCAUCGAACAGCUUGAGUCGAGUACCA